AUAGGAAUCUCAUGUUGAUACAUUUGCUGUUUUGCUGCUUUGAGAAUCAUUACCACGUUCUUCAGAUAUCUCACACUAAAAAUGUAACUUUUUUUUUUUAUCCAGGCCGUGAUCCUUUCAUGUCUCACCUGAUCCUCCUUUUUAUGAGCUUCAUGGACAGAAGGAUACUUAGAUGAGUGGAAGGGAGGUGAAAUAAGUCAACUUGGGUAUGUAUUUCAGAAAUUUCUCCUAUUGUUUUAAAAAUUUAAUACUGAUUCCUCAUAUCCUAAGGCCAUAGAAAGAGAAACAUCCAUGAUGGUAACCAAUGCCUGUGCUAUUAGCAAUAGGAAAUCUCUUACUGUCGUAAAUAUCACUGAAUAGACUAGUACAAAAGCUUAGAGUGGAUGUUACAAAGAGAACAAUUGUAACCAAGAUGACGGCAUGCCAAAAUCCAUUCGUUUAAAGACAUGAUUCUUCUCAAAUAGGAGAAUCGUAAUGUAAACAAAACAAAAUAAAAAUGAAAAC
rnacentral:lncRNA from 1 species